rnacentral:rRNA from 1 species
AUUGAACGCUGGCGGCAGGCUUAACACAUGCAAGUCGAGCGGGGAAGGGUAGCUUGCUACCUAACCUAGCGGCGGACGGGUGAGUAAUGCUUAGGAAUCUGCCAUUUAGUGGGGGACAACAUUCCGAAAGGAAUGCUAAUACCGCAUACGUCCUACGGGAGAAAGCAGGGGAUCUUCGGACCUUGCGCUAAAUGAUGAGCCUAAGUCGGAUUAGCUAGUUGGUGGGGUAAAGGCCUACCAAGGCGACGAUCUGUAGCGGGUCUGAGAGGAUGAUCCGCCACACUGGGACUGAGACACGGCCCAGACUCCUACGGGAGGCAGCAGUGGGGAAUAUUGGACAAUGGGCGGAAGCCUGAUCCAGCCAUGCCGCGUGUGUGAAGAAGGCCUUUUGGUUGUAAAGCACUUUAAGCGAGGAGGAGGCUACUAGUACUAAUACUACUGGAUAGUGGACGUUACUCGCAGAAUAAGCACCGGCUAACUCUGUGCCAGCCGCCGCCGUAA